rnacentral:rRNA from 1 species
AGACCUCAGGUCAGGCGGGGCUACCCGCUGAGUUUAAGCAUAUC